AGCAGCCGCGGUAAUUCCAGCUCCAAUAGCGUAUAUUAAAGUUGUUGCAGUUAAAAAGCUCGUAGUUGAAUUUCGGGAUCAAUAUAUCGGUCGUGCCUUCGGUACGUACUGGUAUCAUUGGUUUCUCCUUUCUGACGAACCAUGAUGUCAUUAAUUUGGUGUUAUGGGGAGUUAGGACUGUUACUUUGAAAAAAUUAGAGUGUUUAAAGCAGGCUUUAGCUUGAAUACAUUAGCAUGGAAUAAUGAAAUAGGACGUUCGAACCUAUUUUGUUGGUUUCUAGGAUCAACGUAAUGAUUAAUAGGGAUAGUUGGGGGCAUUAGUAUUCAAUUGUCAGAGGUGAAAUUCUUGGAUUUAUUGAAGACUAACUACUGCGAAAGCAUUUGCCAAGGAUGUUUUCAUUAAUCAAGAACGAAAGUUAGGGGAUCGAAGACGAUCAGAUACCGUCGUAGUCUUAACCAUAAACUAUGCCGACUAGGGAUCGGAUGAUGUUAAUUUUUUAAUGACUCA
rnacentral:rRNA from 1 species